rnacentral:rRNA from 1 species
AGCCACAAGUUAACAUUUGUGGUCUAACCUGCCCAAUGUGCAAUUAGAAAGAUGAAUGGCCGCGGUACCCUGACCGUGCUAAGGUAGCGUAAUCAGUUGGCUUUUAAAUGGAGUCAGGAAUGAAUGGAAUAACCGGGUUUAGCUGUCUCCUUCCUAAUCAGUUGAAUUUACUGUUCAAGUGAAAAAGCUUGAAUAAAGAAAAGGGACGAGAAGACCCUUAGAAUUUUUUUUAGUGGGAAAUUUUUUUCUAAUGAUUUUGUUGGGGCGACAUGGAAAUAUAUAAAAACUUUCCUUUGAUACUUGCCGAUUUUGUUAAGUUAGGAUAAAUUACCUGAGGGAUAACAGCAUAAUUCUACAGAUGAGUUUGUGACCUCGAUGUUGGACUAGGGAACUAGCAAGCUAGCCGUUUGUUGUGUGGGUUCUGUUCGAACUUUAAUCCC